UUUUAAACUUAUACAAUUACAUUUUUACAGAGUAAGUGUCACAGAAGGGACGACAUUCAGUUCAGUAAUAUAACAGGACGUCAGGCUUGGAGACUGGAGACCAAUAGGCAACUGGAUA
rnacentral:lncRNA from 1 species